rnacentral:lncRNA from 1 species
UUCCAGAGAAACUCAACUAAGUAUUAUCAGGGCUCAGGACAACCCUAUGACAAUGGUCCACUUACUUACCAGCAGUCACAAUGGCUGUACGACUCUACAUUCACGGGAACAAUGAAUGAGAGUAAGUAAACAGAGUAUGUUCUCAUCAUUUACAUUUCUAUCUUGGUCACGUAGAAAAUUUGACUAUUUGUUCCCAAUAUCUAUAUUUGUAUAUAUGUCCUAAUAGUAUUUAAAUGUGCAUUGUUUUAAAAUCUGAGUUUUUAUAGGCAUCUAAAUAAGCCUUCCUCUUUGGGAGAAGACAAGUAUUCAUCAAGGAUCCUUAUCAACACUGAGGGGUGCAGAGACUUCACAUAAUUAUCAUAACAAUACAACCUGAAAAG